rnacentral:lncRNA from 1 species
AGUAUCGAUCCAAUUCCCACUUAGAAAAUGUAUAGCCACUAGCCACAAUGCCACAAUCAUAAUAGGUUUCUACCUAUUUAUUCAUGCCACUCUCUAGGUCAUUCUUGUCACAAUGCCACUAAUUGUUAAACCUUGUUUAACGAGUCAUUUCUCGAUGCCAAUCUUGUCUCUAUUGUCAAUGUCACCUUUGUUUACUUUUAUCAUAGUCUCGGUCUCACAUUCACACAAGUAUAGGGUUCCACAAACAAGUCCACUAUGGUUCAUAUCAAUCUCUAUGUUCAUCUACGUUAGAAGCAUGUAAUUGAAGUCCAACAAUUUUCACAUGUAAUUAACCCUAAUAUGCAUGAAUGACUAUUGACAUAAUGCUCAAAUAAAAGGUGAGAUAGACAUAGAAGGGAAUCCAACGAUUCCGGAGUGCACCCCCCACCUCGAAUAGUAGCAAAGGAGUCGGGGUUCGAUUCUCGUGAUUUUUAGACUCCUAUUCCGCGUGCUGCGGCGAUUUGUACCAAAAUAGAGCCAAAUUAGGCUUUUUAUU